UCUUUUCUGAAAACAAUACAAUGUGCUUAUCUAGAGGAAGUUUUUUUUAAGUGAGAAGAGAGCAAACUAGGUACAUUUAAACAAGUAAUUUCUCAACUACAUUUUUGCUACUUAUAUGUAUUGGUGUAACGGUAGAUCCGUAAAAAAGCAGAAUAUCAUAUGGUUUUAAAAAUUUCUUUUAAAAAUAAGAAGAGUUUAUGUAUUGUCCACAUUUUACUAGCUGAUUUUACAAAUACAAUCACGGAAUAGAUAAAUAAGGUUGGAAUGGUAAUGUAGGCGGGGCAAGCGUGCCACUGUUAUGAUAGAACAAACAUAACUCGACCGAUUCUUUCAUUCACCGCGUUUAGUGCGCUUCGGACUACUUGGCGAACAGAUCUCCGCUUUAUAGUGCCGUGUUGUGCAAUUAUAACUUGUAAAACAAAAAAUCAGACCUCAAGUAUAGAGCGAGGAGGUAUAUCUUUCGAUCGGUUUCCUAAAGAACCUAACGCCAGGGAACAAUGGAUUGACGUGACAGGUAGAGGAAACUGGAGACAAAGACGAGUACUAUUUGCUCUAAACAUUUUACUGAAAAUGAUUUUAUCAUAAAAAAAAUCAGAAUACACUUAGUUUUGAAAAAUUCAUUCGCAAUUAAUAGCAAGCGCCAACUGCUUAACAAAUACGUUUUAUUCCAGCGACAGUGACUAUUUGUAAUUAAUAAAAGUAAAAUAGUUUUUUUUUUCAAUAUUUA